ensembl:lncRNA
UGCAUCUCUCUCUCCCUCUCCCACACACAUGACACCCUCCUCCCUGCUUUCAACCCUAGUAGCCCCCUGUGAGUCUCCCCCAGAGCUGGAAAAAUCAGGCUCGGUUUCUCACAGGCUGAAAUUCCGCUUCGUUUCCAUCCUGCUGCUUUGGGGGGCACAGGGCAAUGUGUGGGGAGGAAAACGCAAGACCUCUCUCUCUUGCCCCAAACACCACUCCCUUCCAGCUUUCCCCCCUCCACCUCCUCUGCUGCAGGUGACUCCCUGGAGGAGAGGGGGAGGGGGAGAAAUACAGCGCAGGAGGAGGGAGGGAGUUGAGGAGUGGGACAGAGGCAGGGAGGAAAAGGAGGGAGGUCCAGGCGUUGGGGGGGGGGGGGGAGUAGGUAUUAGGAACAGCUGCUCCAGCCUCCGCUCGCUGCAGCCAACGCACAACACGCAACAGCAGCAGCGCACGGAGCAUCAGGAUCAAGCCAGCAUGGAUAAAACUUUCGCCCAGUACAGCUCGGGGUGGCUGUUCCUGACAGCAGCGGCGCUCUGCUUAUGGGGUGCCAAAGGCAAGGAUCUCCAAUAACUGGAGCCUAGAAACCAUCAAACCAUUCACUGACCCCUGAUGCCUUCUCUUCUCCUCACCUCAUCCCUUGGAACCUUCAUCUGUCUGAGCAGGUCAUUCAGUUUCAUGUGCUGGUGGGGAUAAGCACUCCCAAUUGUGACCUUUCCAUUCUCAUUGUGUUAAGGUAUAUUAUUCCUGUGGUGCAGUAUUGGACUCCAUGGAAAGAGGUCUUAUUUUAUCACCAGGCUUUCCAAAUAACUACUACCCAGGGACACACUGUGUGUGGCAGUUUUUCAUUCCUGUUAGAACCCAUCUUAUCCUGGAAAUUCUUGACUUUGAUGUAUUUGAGAGCUCAAAUGAAACUCCAGACCCUUGGGAUGGUUUUUUUUCUUCUUCUAAAAGAAAAAAUAUGGAGAUGUUUCCUACUGAAGAAAACUCUGACCUUCCCAUCACUCUUGCUCCUACAAAAUCCUCUGUUCUGGCUGGGAUGUCAAAGGCAACCCAGAAACAUAGCAGCCCAGGAGCUCAGUCAAAGCGUCUUGCUGGCCGCUAUGAUGGAUUCCCAGUAACUACCUCCAAAAAAGAAGAAUACAAACAAACAUCUGAAGAAAAACAGUUCAGACAGAUGGAAGAACCCAAAGAAAUAGCUAAGUCUCGGCCAGAUGGACUGCCAUUCACUGUGGCUGGCAAUACCACUACGCAGCGGCAAAAUAUCAGUGGCCUAGAGAUGAACAGAGAUUUGAAAGGGAAAGUCCUGCUUGCCCACCUCACUGCUAGAAGGAGAGAUGAGGUCAUGGGAGAGAGUCAGCCUCUCUCCACAACAGUCUUACCAAAAGAAAGCUCCACCACCCAGCAGUCUUCAGCAGAUGUGUGUCCCCAUGAUGUCUUGUAUGUUUCUGACCUCAUCACAUUUUCCUCUCGCUUCUGUGGGGCAAACUUGCCUUUAAACAAGACCAUGGUCUUCAGUUCAUCUCUGGAGAUGGUGGAGGUUAUUAUGGAGCUGAUCACGACCACAGAUCGUGGGAGGGGCUUUGCGAUGCUCUUUGAAUAUAAGAACAUCACAGAACCUAAUGCCAUGGAUGUGGUGAGGCAGGAUGGAAUGGAAAACACAAUGAUGCUGGCAAUAAUAACUGGAAUUAUCUUCUUUGCACUUGUUCUUCUGUCUACCCUCUGCAUAACUUGCAGGCAGAAAAUGUGCCCCAAAAGGAACCCUUCCAAUGUACACAGUGACCAGGAGAAUGGGAUCCAGAACUCCGCCAUAGAUAUCAAUGAGCUCCAACUUGUGGUGCCAACUCGAGAGAAUGAAAACAACAAUCACACUGUCAGCCGGGACCAAGCUGUCACUUCCUCUGGAGGCAGCACAGAACACUCUUCUCGGCAUACUGACCCAGACGUGCCCUCUUCUAUGUCUGCCGUGACCACUGAAACGGGGAGCGAUGAAGUAUUUAUUAUUUCAGCCGGCCCUGGUGCCAGCGGGUUGAGUUUUACCACAUACAGAGUACAGGACAAAAACCUAAAGAGAAGUGUCACAAGUCCAGCUUCUGUGUCAGAUUGGCUGACUUCUGAUCAUGUGGCUCCAGGAGCAGGGUCUUUCUACAGCCACAAGAAACCAGUGUGUAACAACCAGAAAAGUAAUUUCAGCUACUGA